rnacentral:rRNA from 1 species
ACUAAAUAGAUACCCGGGUAGUCCACGCCCUAAACGAUGUCUACUAGUUGUUGGUGGAGUAAAAUCCAUGAGUAAACGCAGCUAAACGCGUGAAGUAGACCGCCUGGGGAGUACGGUCGCAAGAUUAAAACUCAAAGGAAUUGACGGGGGCCCGCACAAGCGGUGGAUUAUGUGGAUUAAUUCGAUGCAACGCGAAGAACCUUACCUGGCCGUUGACAUGCCACUAACGAAGCAGAGAUGCAUUAGGUGCCCGUAAGGGAAAGUGGACACAGGUGCUGCAUGGUUGUCGUCAGCUCGUGUCGUGAGAAUGUUGGAUUAAGUCCCGCAACGAGCGCAACCCUUGCCA